rnacentral:misc_RNA from 1 species
CCGCAGGCCCCACCCACGUGGUGCGAAGAAGCCGCAGGCGCGCGCUACAGCAAUGCGCCGACCCAGUCAUCUGAGCUCGGCCCCUGCCUCGAGCUCCUCCCCCCCCCAGCCUCCUCGCAGGUCGCCUCACAGCCAUGCCCAUGGUGCCGGUCACCACCUCGUGCGACCCUCGGGGUGGCUCACGCUCCCCACAGCAGUAGGCAGCGAGGACCGUCUGAUAUGCGCUCGAGUCACGCCGACACUUCGCCCAUCAGGCGGAUGGCACAGACGCGUUCGCUGUCGCAGGUGGCUCCGAUGCAACGCCAUCCAGGGCCUCGACCGCCGACAUCAACAGCGAUGCAUCGCUCUGACCCCCCCUACGUCGUAGGGGGGAUGGCCCUGUCACCAGCAGAAGCGGCUCUGCAGCUGGCAGGAAAGGGGAUAGCGGGAGGGGGCUGCUCGGCCACCCCCCCCCUGUGGAAUAAUGUGAAUGCACUGGGCUCUGAGAUACCAUGCGCUGCAAUGCCUCCCCCCCCCCCUCUCACCUCCUCCGUCAUCAAGGGAGUAGGGUGGAAUGGAAGAACGAACCAAAAACAAAGGUCGAGAAGGGCGAACGCGUACCGCGCGCGCCUGAGGCGUGGCUGUGCAAAGUGGCGUCGGUAAUGCCCUGUGUCGACCGCAGACCCGACGACACCGAGAGAGGAAAAAGAGAGGGCAGAUGACGCACUGGAAGCGCGCGCACUCACGCACACACACAUCCAUCAAAGAGAACUGCCAAAGGACGCGGUGUCGCGUGCCGGGCGAGUAGGUUUGUGAGGUUGCCCUUCUUCAUCCCCACCCCCACCCCUCACCCUUUCCCCUUCCUCUUCCCCUCACGACUGUCAACGAGAAUGCUGGGCAAAGAGGUAGAGUCGUCCGGGUUGUCUUUCCUGUGCAUGGGCGUGCUGCAGCGCCGUUCACCGCACGAGCCAGCAGAGCGGUGCUUCAUUCGUGCCCUUCAGGCUUCCGCAGCUGGACACCUCGCGAUCGACUUCGAAAGCUGUCUCACCCGCAUCCCAUUUCCCAUCGUUACGUUUACACCUCUAUCAUGAUGAUCAAAACCCAUGCUACGAAAG